rnacentral:misc_RNA from 1 species
AACCAUAGAAACCUGCGGAGUACCUGCGGAGGGAUCAUUAUAGUAUAUGGAAUCUCCAUUCUAUAAACCCACUCUGCGUAUCUUGUAACUGUUGCUUCCAUGGGACUUGGUUCCGCCACACCGGCUUCACGGCUGGUGAGCGCCCAUGGAAGGAGAAACAAAACUCUUCUUUGAAAUGUAGUCAGUCUGAACAAGUUUUCAUAAACGUUAAAACUUUUAACAAUGGAUCUCAGAUCGGAA